UACGAAGGGUGCAAACGUUGCUCGGAAUCAUUGGGCGUAAAGCGCACGUAGGCGGCUUUGCAAGUCCCAUGUGAAAGCCCACGGCUUAACCGUGGAAGUGCAUGGGAAACUGCAGAGCUUGAGUACUUAAGAGGAUCGCGGAAUUCCCGGUGUAGAGGUGAAAUUCGUAGAUAUCGGGAGGAACACCAGUGGCGAAGGCGGCGAUCUGGGAAGAUACUGACGCUGAGGUGCGAAAGCGUGGGGAGCAAACAGG
rnacentral:rRNA from 1 species